rnacentral:rRNA from 1 species
AUUGAACGCUGGCGGCAUGCUUUACACAUGCAAGUCGAACGGUAACAGGCCGCAAGGUGCUGACGAGUGGCGGACGGGUGAGUAAUGCAUCGGAACGUACCCAGUCGUGGGGUAUAACUACUCGAAAGAGUAGCUAAUACCGCAUACGAUCUAUGGAUGAAAUCGGGGGACCGUAAGGCCUCGCGCGAUUGGAGCGGCCGAUGUCAGAGUAGGUAGUUGGUGGGGUAAAGGCUCACCAAGCCCACGAUCUGUAGCUGGUCUGAGAGGACGACCAGCCACACUGGGACUGAGACACGGCCCAGACUCCUACGGGAGGCAGCAGUGGGGAAUUUUGGACAAUGGGCGCAAGCCUGAUCCAGCAAUGCCGCGUGCAGGAAGAAGGCCUUCGGGUUGUAAACUGCUUUUGUACGGAACGAAACGGCUCUGGUUAAUACCCGGGGCUAAUGACGGUACCGGAAGAAUAAGCACCGGCUAACUACGUG